rnacentral:rRNA from 1 species
GACGAACGCUGGCGGCGUGCUUAACACAUGCAAGUCGAACGGAAAGGCCCUGCUUUUGUGGGGUGCUCGAGUGGCGAACGGGUGAGUAACACGUGAGUAACCUGCCCUUGACUUUGGGAUAACUUCAGGAAACUGGGGCUAAUACCGGAUAGGAGCUCCUGCUGCAUGGUUGGGGUUGGAAAGUUUCGGCGGUUGGGGAUGGACUCGCGGCUUAUCAGCUUGUUGGUGGGGUAGUGGCUUACCAAGGCUUUGACGGGUAGCCGGCCUGAGAGGGUGACCGGCCACAUUGGGACUGAGAUACGGACCAGACUCCUACGGGAGGCAGCAGUGGGGAAUAUUGCACAAUGGGCGGAAGCCUGAUGCAGCAACGCCGCGUGCGGGAUGACGGCCUUCGGGUUGUAAACCGCUUUCGCCUGUGACGAAGCGUGAGUGACGGUAAUGGGUAAAGAAGCACCGGCUAACUACGUG